CCCCCUGAAACAGAGACAGAAAUACAGACCAAUCAGCACACUGGAGUCAACAUUCAUUCCCAUGUGGCUGGUACUGAAAAACAAAGACAAGGGGAUUGUUCUGUUUUUUAUUUUAUUUAUUUUUUACAUCUACAAUCGUCUUUGAAGUCACCAUCUAUAACUUCAAAUUCUAGUCAAAUCCCCCUGCUCUUAGAAAAGGCCUUGCUGACAAUGUAUGAAUCUGUCUCAUCUGUCUUAACGGUCCACGCAUUGUAGAGUUACAGUGAAAAAAAUAGAAGCAACAGAACUCACAUGCUCCAUCUGGUUGACGUUACUGAGGCGGUGGAGACCGAACACGUAGCCCUCUGUGCGGUCCUUGUUGAUCUUGUCGAGGGCCUGUCCUGCUGCUCCCAGGGCCACGGCGUCCUGGCACGACCCGGGCUUCAUGCUGGCUUCCAGGGGGGCGGCAUGAGCAUACACACACGCCAGCAACAACAAGGCACACUGCUUCAUCAUGAUGGAGGACCGAUGGGCUGUGUCUCACACACGCUGAACGGG